AUCCAGGGAUGACAGGAUAGCCGAAGAGGGACAUGGAUCUUGGGGUGGGAGAGAUCCACCGGGGUCAGAUAAGGUCACCAGGGAUCAGGCAAAACCCCUGUGGUAGGACACUGUGAAUUUGGAGGAUCACUGAAAUCAGAAAGUCCCUGGUGUCUGUCAAGGUCCCCAGGGUCCAAUAGGAUUCCCAGGGUCCCUGGGGUCAGAUACAGUUCCUGGGGCCAGGCAGUGUCCCAGGGAUCAGGCUAGACCCCGUGGUAGGAAGUCCCUGAAAUCAGCAGGUCCCAAAGGUCGGGGGCUUCCUGGUGUCUCACAUGGUCCCCUGGGACUAGGGAGGAUCCCAUUAAAUCGGGCCAGACCCCUGUAAUAAAACAGUGCCUGAAAUCAUAGAUUUCUCAGGGUCAGGCUGGGUUCUGGGGGUGAGGCAGGGUCCAGGGUGGCACAGUGUCCCUGUGCUGGGGCCAGGUCAGGCCCCAGGAGCAGCAGGACAGGGCACAGGGUGUAGGGAGGCAAGGGAUGCUCCAUGAAGCCUGCAAGGAGCUAUGCCCCGGGCUCAGGUCCAUGUAGCCAUGUGCCUCCCUCAGCCACAACAGUGACUUCUGGCCAUGGGGUGGUCUCUGGACAGUGGAUUUUGGCAGAGGGGUGAUGCCACUUGUUCACCCAAGGUAAACAGCUGGGGAAUGGUCUUUGGUAGCAGAACUGGUUAACACUAGUCAUGCUCAGAGCUAUUGUUCUCCACUGGUAUUCAGCUUUACAGACUUCUGCAGCUAUUUCAGGCCUGCUGGAGGGCUCGUGUACCCAACAGCCUGCCUGGUUUUUCUUCUAAUUAUUUCAGUCAGUCUAAAAAAAGACAUUACCUCCCUCUGCAAACCUUGCCUCCAUUGUUCUCAGCACAGAAAAUAAGAAGGAAAGGAGAAUAAAAGUCUGACACCCUCUACCUCCAGGUUAAAUCCUCUUCUGCAUAGGUAUGGCAAGUGCUAAGAGGAAAAACAAGAGGCAGCUUCUGCUAACCAGAGGCAGAAGGGAUAGUAGUGUAUCCAUCAGGGCAGGCUACCCCCAUCCUGCAGGGCCAGGGGUUAAUGGAGGAGCUGGGAAUCACCCUGGGACACACCAGGACUUGAAAUGAGAAAUCCUGGUACUGUCAAGGCACGUUGGCAGAAGAAUGAUUGCCGUGUCAGCAAAAAGACAUCUCACAUGGGAGGGAGCAGCUAAUAGCUGUGCUGUGAUGAAUCUGGGUUUUGACAAGAGGCUGAGGCACCAAACACACUCGGAAAAGCCAGGGGAGGACAGAUGGGGUCUGACUGCUUAUAACUGGUGUGAGCAGGGAGAGAACAUCAAGAGGGAGGAUGCAUUGUGCUGACAACCAUGGUCAGGGCAUUGUCCAAGCACUGCACUUGCCCUCCCUCUCCUCUCACCUGCAGGAUUUUGGGGUAAGACCCUCCCAUUUGCUCCAGCUGCACAGGGCUGCAAGAGCAGCAGGGGCUGAGCCAGAACUGGAGCUCCUAAGAGAAACUACACACAAAUAAUUAUUAGUGAUAAUUAGCAAAAACACACUGAUGACAUCUCCUUCCUAUCAGCUUAGCUCAGUUUGGCAAAGGCUCUGGUCUCGCUGAGACAAUCCCCAUGUUGUAUAAACACCUUCUGUGGCCUCCCCUGCUCCUCCUCCAUGGCCAAGAGCCAAAUCAGGCAAAGAAAAUGCUGCCACAAGCAUCAGUGGUGGCACAGAAGGGCCUGGCCAGUGGCCAGGGGUUUGACAACAUCCUUCAGGUUCCUUCUUUACCUGGCACAACAGGCACCUCCGAAAAAUAUGACAAGAAAAUCAUGACUGGCCAUCAGCAUUCAGAGCUGUCACCAAGCUAGCAUUAGCUCUCUGCUGCCUAACACCAGGUGGACCUGGAGAGACCCACUCUGACCUGCUCCAGCACUGCAGGGAAACCUGUCGUUUGCAAGAGGAUGUUCAGUUCACAACCACGGGGAGAUACAUGUCUGGAAGAGAAGAGCCAGCUAUCUGCCAAAGCCAUCAGCCUGCAAGCGCUCGCAGGAACUCGUGUGCUCUCCCUGCUGAUCUUGCUGGUUUAGUAAGGAAAAGCAGUCCUGGCUGCAGAGGAUGUCUGGUGCUCACAGGAGGGACAAAGCAGAUCCAAAACUGUAGCAUCGUGGCCACCCAGAGAACACUGGAUCCAGUCUGGUCACCCAAAUACCGCCUGCCUGCAGCUUCUGAGCAAGGCUCAGACAAAAGAAAACCCAUCCAAACUGUGGGUUUAUGUUUGUUUUCCACGCUCCCUUGUUGAAAUUCCAUGUCAAAGAUUUACAAGUCCCUGGAGGGGAGCAGGGACUGCAGCCGAGAGCCCGCUGCUUUGCCAUCGCUUCUGUGUGCUGGAGUGAGCCGGGGCAGCUGCCGGAGGACGCUGGAGGCAUUGUGCUGCCGGACAGGUUUGAAGGCUGGUGUUAAUAAGCUGGUGUUAAUGGGCUGGUGUUAAUGGGCACCCUGAUGGUGAGAAGUCAGCACUGGAGCCGAGCCGUGCUGGGGCUGGAGCUGGGGGUUCUUCCACGUGUCUGUCACCGGAGAGGGAAGAGUCAAGCUGCAGUAACUCCCCGGUGCAGACAAGAUGCUGAACUGCAUCGCUUUAAUUAUGCCAGCGCAAAUUUCAUUCAUUUGGUUAAGCCUGGGAGCUACAGAAAGAGCUAUUUCCAGGUGUGCUGGUUUAAUUAUUGGAUGUCCUGGAUUGCCCACCGUGCACAGCUGCAUGGUCGGGGUUUGUCGGGCUCUCCUGCAGACCGGGACAAGUUCGCAGCCAUCAGCACGGCGGUGGCCCCGCUCACGCCUCUGUGCAGCCCAGCGCACGGGCUCUGCUUGGGUCAGAUAAAUGGGUUUUAACCUGAUUUGUACUGUAAUCUCCAUGUCGACAGGCUGUCAUCACGCACAGGAUAAAACCCCAGCUCCUGUGGCCGGGGGCCCGUGGGGUUUCACCGGGCAGCUCCUGCCAGCAAGGCUGGCCGAUGAUUCCAAGCCAAGUGCCUUUCCUGUCCUGGCAUCCCAGGGACACCUCUGGACCGUGGGCGCUUGCAAAACGGCUUUUGUUUGCUUAACUCCUUGCACUGGAGCAGACAGGGGCACAGCUCCCACUGUCCUGUCCCUCCUCCACAAGCAGGAACAGGGUGACAAUCCUGCUGCCCAUGGUAGGCAGCUCAGUGCCAGCCCUGCCAUCCCACCCCUGGCAAAAAAUAGCACCUUCUGUGUGCGUUAUUUGUACUUUCCUUUUCUGAACGUGCCUUAAAAAAGAAGGGUUUUGUUUUCAAAGAAACAGCAUUUCAAUUACAUUCUUCUCUGCUCGUCCAGCUCUUCUCUGUAACCCCAUUGCUGUACAGAGCAUUGAGCGUGCGUGGGACGUGGUGGGAUUUUAACUGUAAUUCACGGACAGAUAUAAAAUGCCAGGGUUAUUAUGAAUUUUAUUCAGGAGAGAUUAAAUGUUACUGGUUCAGCA